rnacentral:lncRNA from 1 species
UCACAAUAUGCUUUAUGUUUUUAUAAAAAAGAGAGUUAAACAUGAAAUGAAAGACAAGUUAGUAUAUUAAUCACGCCUCAAACAAUUCAUCGCUUAAUUUCUUUCAUUCUCGUUAAAUUGUCCAUAAAAUCUUUCACAGUAUCGUGUUUAAAUUCGUCCCAUUGCAUGGAUAUAUCUAGCCUGUCCACUAGCUCCUGUUGUGGUGGGAAGGGUUUUUCCUUCAAU